rnacentral:rRNA from 1 species
AUGAUCUGGCAUGUACAGAAUGAAAACUUCAUUCUCGAUUCUACGAGAAUUUUUAUGAAAGCAUUUCAUUUGCUUCUCUUCAAUGGAAGUUUCAUUUUUCCAAAAUAUAUCCUAAUUUUUGCCCUAAUUCUUCUUUUGAUGAUCGAUUCAACCUCUGAUAAAAAAUAUAGACCUUGGUUAUAUUUCAUCUCUUCAACAAGUUUAGUAAUAAGCAUAACGGCCCUAUUGUUCCGAUGGAGAGAAGACCUUGUUAACUGA